rnacentral:rRNA from 1 species
UACGUAGGGUGCGAGCGUUGUCCGGAAUUACUGGGCGUAGAGCUCGUAGGUGGUUUGUCGCGUUGUCCGUGAAAACUCACAACUCAAUUGUGGGCGUGCGGGCGAUACGGGCAGACUGGAGUACUGCAGGGGAGACUGGAAUUCCUGGUGUAGCGGUGGAAUGCGCAGAUAUCAGGAGGAACACCGGUGGCGAAGGCGGGUCUCUGGGCAGUAACUGACGCUGAGGAGCGAAAGCGUGGGGAGCGAACAGG